GAUCGUCUGCAUUGACAUAUGCAUUGAUUAUACAUCGACUAUUGGUUGCCAACGACGCUACUUUAAGAUCGCCGAAACAAAAAAUCCCUGGACCGAUUUGGGAAAUGUGGACAGUGUAAAUGGUGCCAUUGACAUGAAAAUCCCACCAGUCCAAUAUAUAAUUCAAAGAGAGCUCCCAAAAAAGAUUGCUGUGGUGCCUGGAAGCAGUCUACAUUAUGACAGUGCUUGCGAAUGCCAGUCUGAGUUGGAACUGGUUCUGGCAUGCUGUAAACCAGUACAGUAGAAAAGGGCAUGUUGGAGCCUGAUGCUGUGUUAAGCAGACAUAUGCUGAUUGUGCAAGAACUGAUCAUGGAUGAUUUCGGGAAGAACAGUUUGACAAAGUCUGUUGAAUUCUUCGUCAAUAUGGAUAGUAGGAGCGAUGGCAGUGUUGGUGUCAUAAGUGUGAACUUCAACCCUCCCCAAGUCCUAAUGGCCAUUCCAGGAGUGUGUACAAAUCCAACAAGUGCUAUCAUUCAGCUGGGGGAGAGUAGGUCAACUCAGUCCAUGAAACCUUGUGCCAACCAAUCAAGUGUUCCUGUGAGCUCUAAAACAGAAGCAUAUAUCUGCAGGUUAACAUCAUGAAAACAUCUAUAACCAGAAUCAGUUCAAGAAAGACGGUUACUUUGCAGCCAUGUUGGAGAAUAUUUUCCCAUCAACAAAUAUCGCAUACGUAGUUGCAGUUGUUUUUUUAAAGAGGAUUAAAUGUGUUACCAAAAUUUUCCUGAUAUGACAUACCUGUGAAGGAUUAGUUGCUGUUAUUUGUGUCAAAUCGAAAAAAUGGGUUUUCAAUGUCAAAUUAUUUGUGCUGAUUGUUAGAUAUUUUUGGAUAAAAAUACUUGAACGAUUGGAUUUAAAGUAUUGAAGGUGAGUAAAAUAUGAACAUUAAUGUUUUGGAGGAACCUUAAGUCAGUAAGAACACAUUAGUCCAAUUUAUGUAGUAAAGGAUUUCAUAUCCCAAAUGGGCUCUGUACUUUUUCAAUAACAUAUGAACAGAUUGUUUUUAUGUUUAAUUUGUUAUUUGAUUAUAUGUGUAUGUAUAGUCGUCAUUAUGGUAUUCACGCUUGAAAGGAUAAUAUCAUAGACUUUUGUUUGAUCCUUAUUUGACUUUGACCUUGUACAUCGUAUCUUGUUGCUGGUCAUAGCAAACAAUCAGAAUAUUCUACCUGGUGAAGAUAGAGAAAAUGAUUGAGUAAGCAUUAUUUUACCUUUAUGGGGUCCUGAAUAAUGCUGGCCUUUCUCACUAACUCUUGGUCAAAACACUUGAAAUCAAAACUUAGAAGUCAUGUCAUUUUAUUAAUUUCAGUGAUUGAAACACUGGUGGCAUAAAAAGCUGUUCAAAGUCACGGGCCCUGCAGGGCUACCAGCUGACAAUGUUAGGCGGCCCUUACUUACUAGGUAGUCACAUUGAAUUUCACUUUUUAAGAGGUACCCAUUGCCAGACAUGAUUUUCCUCCUAUUUAAUUGCUCAAUUCGAUAAAAAUAUCCCAUGGGCACACAAAUAGAUGUGUCAUUGUAACAAACAGAAACAGAUAAAUAAAUUGUAUAGUAGCAAGCAUCGACACAGUUUCAUAAUUAACUUCACACCAGACAUGAACCUGUUUUAAAAUAAACCCGAUCUGAAAAUGGGGGCAAGUAUUUCAGUUAUCAUAUUGGUUCGCGUUGCCUAUGACUUACUUGAUAAUUCAACAACCCGGGUGUUCACUGGACUGUAAAUUACCAAAAUUGUAGUUGUUGUUUCAAGCGGGCUAGGUGAAUUGUAAACCCCUGAACACACUUAAUCUGGUAAUGAUAAAACCAUCUAGUAUAUGAUGAAGAGUAUAAUAUAACUUGUAAACAUAGAAAGUCUGUGUCCUUUUUAUACGCCCGUUUUCAAAACAGGGUGUAUUAUAAGAUCACCCUUGGCGGGAGGCUGCGUCCACAGCAGUGUCUGCUCUCUAAUUGAAGUAGUUUUCAUCCGAUCUUCACCAAACUUGGUCAGUAGUUGCAUCUAGACAAUAUCUAGGUUAAGUUCGAAUAUGGGUCAUGCCGGGUCAAAAACUAGGUCACGGGUCACUUUGUGCAUUUCAAGCAUGGUGUCCGCUCUCUAAUUAAAGUAGUUUUCAUCCCAUCUUCACCAAACUUGCUCAGAAGUUGUAUCUAGACACUAUCGAGGUCAAGUUCGAAUAUAGGUCAUGCAGGGUCAAAAACUAGGUCACGGGGUCACUUAGUGCAUUUCAAGGAUUUAGCAUGAUGUCCGCUCUCUAAUUUAAGUAGUUUUCAUCCCAUCUUCACCAAAUUUGGUCAGAAGUUUUGUCUAAAUGAUAUCCAGGUCAAGUUCAAAUAUGGGUCAUGCGGGGUCAAAAACUAGGUCAUGAGGGCACUUAGUGCAUUUCAAGCAUUUAGCAUGGUGUCCACUCUCUAAUUGAAGUAGUUUUCAUCCGAUCUUGACCAAAUUUGGUCAGAAGUUGUGUCUAGAUGAUUUGUAGGUCAAUUUCAAAUAUGGUUUGCUUAUCAAGUUGUCCAAAACCUUCGAACAGGCGAAUCUUGUGACAGUUUGGCACUCUUGUUGACAAUUACAUUUCAGGCCAAAAUUUGUAAUCUAGUCAUAUAUGAAACAAUGAUGUGAUUAUUAAGGUUGUAACGCUUGUAUUUAUGUCAAAGGCAUUGAUACAGCAGUCACACAUAUUAAGCUAAGUGCUUGCAAUUUCCUAUUGUUCAUUUGAAAAGUCUGCAAAAACUUUGAUUGAGAUUGAAAUAAAGUUGCCACAAUUGAACUUCAAGUACACAUGUACCUGAAAGUCAAUGGUCAGAUAACCUUCUGCUCACCUAUAUGUCUUUUUAGAUAAUUGUAAAUUUAAACAAUCAGCGAAGUUUGUAUUUCCUCUCAGAUUCACCUGGGGCAGCUCAGACAAUUACCAUUCUUUACCUAGAUGGUGACGUCACUUCGUUACAGUAAGACCGGUGUGUACACAAUGAUGCAAUUACGGGCAAUAACCCAUCUAGGGUUACUAGAUUUACCGAAAGCGCGCUUUCGGUAUUGGUACCGAAAGCGCAAUAGAAUUACCGAAAGCGCAUUGGAUAUAUGCGUUAUGUAUACAAUAUAAGGAAAAUUAGAUACAUACUGUUAAUACAAAUGUUUCAAGCCACAUAUUAAAAUUUGAAUUGUUGAUAUUUUGAGAUACAUUUGCUAUAUUGUUGAAAUUUAUUGAAAUGCAAACUUUUUAUUUGAUUUAUAAAUGUUGUUCCAUCAUGCCAUGGUAUUCAUUAUUUACUUCAGUUGAAAUAUGUAUUACAGGAAAACGCUAUAAAUAGUUUUAGUUGUCUUUAAUAUCAUUUCGAUGUCAACAUUGCAACAUGUAACAUUUAACAAUACAGAACCAAUGAUAAGAACACAAAAAUCGAUUAUUGGAGUGUUAAAGGGAUCUUUUCACGGUUUGGUAAAUUGACAAAAUUGAAAAAAGUUGUUUCAGAUUCGCAAAUUUUCGUUUUAGUUAUGAUAUUUGUGAGGAAACAGUAUUACUGAACAUUUACCAGAGUCCAAUAUAGCCAUUAUAUGUAUCUUUUGACGAUUUGAAAACCUAAAAAUUAUAAAGCGUUGCAACGCGAAACGAUUAAAUAAUUUGGAGAGUUCUGUUGUCGUUUAAAUUUACGAAACUACGAAGAUUGCUUAUAUAAGGUAUAAAAUACUCAUACUGUGUAUAACCGGCAGAAUAGCCGAGAGGGUUAAUGCGUUUUUACUUCAGACUAACUCCAGGACUCCGGGCGUCACUGGUUCGAGCCCUGGUAGCGGCUACUUGUUUUUCCUUUUUUUAAUUUUAUUCUUGAUUUUUUACUGGAGCUUUUAAGAUCCAAUGUUUACAUUUAUCAAUAUAAAGCAUUUUAUGACAAAUUUCAAAUAUGCUAAAAUCUGUGAAAAGGCCCCUUUAAAAACUCCAUUAACAAUCCACGAAGAUGUAAACAAAUUAUAACGCCAGAGAACAGAUGAUAAUAAUAAUAAGGAUACCCAAACCUACCCAAAUCUUGUUAAUAAUAAUCAUGUUUGUGUGAUGGGCACUAUUGUUUUGUUUAUGCUUCAUCUUUACUCGUGACAAUACAUAUAUGUAAUUAUCCAAUAUAAAUAUAGAUUACACACCACUUUCUAA